rnacentral:rRNA from 1 species
GACGAACCGUGCGAACGUUAUUCGGAAUCAUUGGGCUUAAAGGGCGCGUAGGCGGCGGUGUAAGUUGGAAGUGAAAUCCCAUCGGCUCAACCGUGGAAUUGCUCCCAGUACUGCAUCGCUCGAGGGGGAUAGGGGUUUGCGGAACUACCGGUGGAGCGGUGAAAUGCUUAGAUAUCGUCAAGAACACCGAUAGUGAAGACAGCUCACUAAGCUCAAACUGACGCUGAGGCACGAAAGUGUGGGGAUCAAACAGG